GCUCAUCUCGAAGAGGGAGGGUGAGAACCCUCGCCGGGCUCGAGCAGAGCAGCUGGCUGUGAUGAACGGCCAGAGGCCGCCCAGAAGGGGUGAGUGACGCAGUGGCGAAUUAUCCCUCCCUCACUGCCA
rnacentral:sRNA from 1 species